UACGGAAGGGGCAAGCGUUGUUCGGAAUCAUUGGGCGUAAAGGGCGCGUAGGUGGUUCUGUAUGUCUACCGUGAAAGCAGUACAGCUCAACUGUAUUUUGUCGGUAGAAACUGCAGGACUUGAGGCUGGGAGGGGCUGGUGGAAUUCCCUGUGUAGCGGUGAAAUGCGUAGAGAUGGGGGAGAACACUCGUGGCGAAGGCGGCCAGCUAGACCAGUUCUGACACUGAGGCGCGACAGCGUGGGGAGCAAACAGG
rnacentral:rRNA from 1 species